rnacentral:tRNA from 1 species
AAGGGAGACCUAAUUCCGGUAGGAGACGAAAAAAAAGUAGUCCCUACCAAGAAUCAAUCCCAAAAGGUCGAAGCGAGGCAAGAUUGGCUUUCAAACUAGGUUCUGGGUUCAAACAAGACCUGAAUCAGGAACAAGGGCUAUUAGCUCAGGUGGUUAGAGCGCACCCCUGAUAAGGGUGAGGUCCCUGGUUCGAGUCCAGGAUGGCCCACCUGCACAGGUGGCAAAAACAAAGAAGCGAGGAAUCAGCACCUUAUCUUACACAUAUAGUAAGAGAGAAUGCUGGCUCUGAGUAAAGAGUCCAGAGGAACCUUGAAAACUGCAUAGAGCUAGGUGAAAAAGCCAAAAAAGAAGACCGCAA